AUUGAACGCUGGCGGCAGGCCUAAUACAUGCAAGUCGAACGGUAACAGGAAGAAGUUUGCUUCCUUGCUGUCGCGUCGCGGACGGGUGUGAAAUGUCUGGGAAACUGCUAGAUGGCGGGGGUUACUUCCUGGAAACGGUACCAAUUCCCGCAUAACUAUUCAACACCAAAGUGGGGUACUUUCGGGCCUUUUUCCUUCGGCUGUGCCCAGAUGGGAUUAGCUAGUAGGUGGGGUAACGGCUCACCUAGGCGACGAUCCCUAGCUGGUCUGAGAGGAUGACCAGCCACACUGGAACUGAGACACGGUCCAGACUCCUACGGGAGGCAGCAGUGGGGAAUAUUGCACAAUGGGCGCAAGCCUGAUGCAGCCAUGCCGCGUGUAUGAAGAAGGCCUUCGGGUUGUAAAGUACUUUCAGCGGGGAGGAAGGGAGUAAAAUUAAUACCUUUGCUCAUUGACGUUACCCGCAGAAGAAGCACCGGCUAACUCCGUG
rnacentral:rRNA from 1 species